UACGGAGGGUGCAAGCGUUAAUCGGAAUUACUGGGCGUAAAGCGUGCGUAGUCGGUUAUCUAAGUCGGGUGUGAAAGCCCCGGGCUCAACCUGGGAAUUGCAUUCGAGACUGAAUAGCUAGGGUACGGUAGAGGGAAGUGGAAUUUCCGGUGUAGCGGUGAAAUGCGUAGAUAUCGGAAGGAACAUCAGUGGCGAAAGCGACUUCCUGGACCAGUACCGACGUUCAGGCACGAAAGCGUGGGGAGCAAACAGG
rnacentral:rRNA from 1 species